GCCUGAGAGGGCGACCGGCCACACUGGGACUGAGACACGGCCCAGACUCCUACGGGAGGCAGCAGUGGGGAAUAUUGCACAAUGGGCGAAAGCCUGAUGCAGCGACGCCGCGUGAGGGAUGACGGCCUUCGGGUUGUAAACCUCUUUCAGCAGGGAAGAAGCGAGAGUGACGGUACCUGCAGAAGAAGCGCCGGCUAACUACGUGCCAGCAGCCGCGGUAAUACGUAGGGCGCAAGCGUUGUCCGGAAUUAUUGGGCGUAAAGAGCUCGUAGGCGGCUUGUCACGUCGGUUGUGAAAGCCCGGGGCUUAACCCCGGGUCUGCAGUCGAUACGGGCAGGCUAGAGUUCGGUAGGGGAGAUCGGAAUUCCUGGUGUAGCGGUGAAAUGCGCAGAUAUCAGGAGGAACACCGGUGGCGAAGGCGGAUCUCUGGGCCGAUACUGACGCUGAGGAGCGAAAGCGUGGGGAGCGAACAGGAUUAGAUACCCUGGUAGUCCACGCCGUAAACGGUGGGCACUAGGUGUGGGCAACAUUCCACGUUGUCCGUGCCGCAGCUAACGCAUUAAGUG
rnacentral:rRNA from 1 species